rfam:Dipodomys ordii contig_30865, whole genome shotgun sequence.
GGGAAGGUGGCUCAGUGGUAGAGCGCUUGCCUUGCAUGCAUGAGGCCCCGAGUUUGAUUCCUCAGCAACCCA